GUGCGCCUCCAUGUCUCCCAGCCCAAGGUGCAGUGCUGCAUCUCUGGUCAAUUGGGAGUCUGAGAUGAAGCACUGUAGCUCGGGAAGGGAGGAACUGUGCACCCUG
rnacentral:pre_miRNA from 14 species